rnacentral:rRNA from 1 species
UACAGAGGUGGCAAGCGUUGCUCGGAAUCACUGGGCGUAAAGCGCACGUAGGCGGAUCUUUAAGUCAGAGGUGAAAUCCCAAGGCUCAACCUUGGAACUGCCUUUGAUACUGGGGAUCUCGAGUCCGGAAGAGGUGAGUGGAACUGCGAGUGUAGAGGUGGAAUUCGUAGAUAUUAGGAAGAACACCAGUGGCGAAGGCGGCUCACUGGUCCGGUACUGACGCUGAGGUGCGAAAGCGUGGGGAGCAAACAGG